rnacentral:snoRNA from 1 species
UUGCCAUGAUGACGUGCAUGGGGUUUCGCAUGUGGCUGAGUUCCGGUGAUGCCUCUUUUCUCUUGGCUGUCUGAGCAA